rnacentral:rRNA from 1 species
CAGCCGCCACGGUAAUACGUAGGGUGCAAGCGUUAAUCGGAAUUACUGGGCGUAAAGCGUGCGCAGGCGGUUUGUUAAGACAGAUGUGAAAUCCCCGGGCUCAACCUGGGAACUGCAUUUGUGACUGGCAAGCUAGAGUCUUGUAGAGGGGGGUGGAAUUCCGCGUGUAGCAGUGAAAUGCGUAGAUAUGCGGAGGAACACCGAUGGCGAAGGCAGCCCCCUGGGCCAACACUGACGCUCAUGCACGAAAGCGUGGGGAGCAAACAGGAUUAGAUACCCCUGUAGUCCCUGUCUCUUAUAC